AUCCAGCUGACGAGUCCUGAAUAGAACGAAGUGGCGCACGUCCAACUGGAU
rnacentral:hammerhead_ribozyme from 1 species